rnacentral:rRNA from 1 species
AUUGAACGCUGGCGGCAUGCCUUACACAUGCAAGUCGAACGGCAGCACGGGGCAACCUGGUGGCGAGUGGCGAACGGGUGAGUAAAGUAUCGGAACGUACCAUUCAGUGGGGGAUAACGUAGCGAAAGUUACGCUAAUACCGCAUAUUCUCUCCGGAGGAAAGCAGGGGAUCGCAAGACCUUGCGCUGAUUGAGCGGCCGAUAUCAGAUUAGCUAGUUGGUGAGGUAAAGGCUCACCAAGGCGACGAUCUGUAGCGGGUCUGAGAGGAUGAUCCGCCACACUGGAACUGCGACACGGUCCAGACUCCUACGGGAGGCAGCAGUGGGGAAUUUUGGACAAUGGGGGCAACCCUGAUUCAGCCAUGCCGCGUGAGUGAAGAAGGCCUUCGGGUUGUAAAGCUCUUUCGGCCGGGAAGAAAUCGCAUGGGUUAAUACCCUGUGUGGAUGACGGUACCGGAAUAAGAAGCACCGGCUAACUACGUGCCAGCCGCCGCCGUAAUAC